GAUGAAGAACGCAGCGAAAUGCGAUAAGUAAUGUGAAUUGCAGAAUUCAGUGAAUCAUCGAAUCUGUGAACGCACAUUGCGCCCGCCAGUAUUCUGGCGGGCAUGCCUGUUCGAGCGUCAUUUCAACCCUCAAGCCCUGCUUGGUGUUGGGGAUCGGCGUUGCCUCCUCCGUCGUUCGCGGCGGGGUGAGGUCGCCGCCCCCGAAAUGAAUUGGCGGUCUCGUCGCAGCUUUCCUUUGCGUAGUAACAUACCACCUCGCAACCAGGAGCGCGGCGCGGCCACUGCCGUAAAACGCCCAACUUUUUCAAGAGUUGACCUCGAAUCAGGUAGGAAUACCCGCUGAACUUAAGCAUAUCAAUAAGCGGAGGA
rnacentral:misc_RNA from 1 species